CAUCAAAGUUAGCCUGUGUAACCACCUCGAAGAAGUCUCGGAUUAUUUUCAAACCCCAGACGAACCUCGAUUUUCCAAAACCACCUAUAUGUUUAAACAACGAGAUUAUAUACGAGAUUCUAUAUACGUAUGUUAAACCUGUCCUCGGGGGACGGCAAAUAAAUCACGAGGUAAAAAAGUAACCGUUCGUAGGACGGAACUGAUUCAUUUUAUACACAUUUCUAACCGGUUUCAAGUAACGAGUUUAGCUCAGGACCAUCGUUGUUCCUUUGACAACUAUCGUGGACUUAUUCCUUCCGGUAACCGCUUGAUCGUACAGGAUAAAUUCGACUAUUUCUCCACCGACCUAGACUAUCACUUCUACCAGGGUGUUGCUAUCCUCUUCUCCUCUCCCCUAAAGACUCCGUGUUGUUCGCCGACUACUUCCAAGAAACCAGUCUGUCCUCACACGAGUCGACCUCCUGUAGGAAAACCUAAUAUCAAUGAUGAAACGUAGAGCUAUCUUGAUCAAAAUAAACGCAUGAUCACAACAUACACCAUUUUUAACUACCUGUUCUAGACGUCGGAGAGAACAUGCAGGAGAGGAGAGGGUAGGAUGUUGUUUCCAGUGGAGUUAAACCGCAGAACAGAUUUCUCAAACAUUAAUUGUAGUGGUAGGACGAACAUUCGAGGGCCC
rnacentral:rRNA from 1 species